rnacentral:rRNA from 1 species
CAGGAUGAACGCUAGCGACAGGCCUAACACAUGCAAGUCGAGGGGCAGCACAAGGAGCAAUCUGAGGUGGCGACCGGCGCACGGGUGAGUAACACGUAUGCAACCUGCCUGUAAGCGGGGAAUAACCCGUUGAAAGACGGACUAAUACCGCAUAAUACUAAAUUACUGCAUGGUAAUUUAUUUAAACAUUUAUGGCUUACAGAUGGGCAUGCGCAUGAUUAGCUAGUUGGAGAGGUAACGGCUCCCCAAGGCAACGAUCAUUAGGGGUUCUGAGAGGAAGGUCCCCCACACUGGUACUGAGACACGGACCAGACUCCUACGGGAGGCAGCAGUGAGGAAUAUUGGUCAAUGGACGAGAGUCUGAACCAGCCAAGUCGCGUGCAGGAAGAAUGUCCUUAAUGGAUUGUAAACUGCUUUUGCAGGGGAAUAAAGUGCAUCACGUGUGAUGUUUUGUAUGUACUCUGCGAAUAAGGAUCGGCUAACUCCGUGCCAGCCGCUGC